GGCCAGGCUGGAUGGGGCUUUGGGCAACCUGAUCUGGUGGGAGGUGUCCCUGCCCAUGGCAGGGAGGUGAAACUGGAUGGUCCUUAAGGUCCCUUCCUACGCAAACCAUUCUGUGUUUCUUUGAAUAAGCAGGUCCUGCUAUGUGUUGGCUAUAACAUUAUUCAUUCUGGAAUAUUUAUUAUUCAUUCUCAGAAUGUCUGAGGGUCAUCAUUAGCUCCACGAGAAAGGUAUGCUAACGUUCCAUAUUGUUCUGUUUUUGAUUUCAGCAUGACACGAACGCAAAAAGUAUGCUAGGCAGUUUUGAGAGUACAGGUAAUUGGAACAUUAGGAUUCUGCCUGAUAACCUGUUUUUCAUUUAAGGUACAUUUCAGAAGUUUCAGCACUCAGUGGUCAUCAGAACAGAUAAUAAAUAGUCAUUCACAAAUUAUAUUUCACCAGUGACUGGAGAGCAACUGCAAUGAAACUAUAUCCCUUUACUUGAGAAGGAGAUGAAUAUUCUGCUGUUAGCUGAAGCUGUAAUACAGGGUAUUUGUGAUAAUAGAAUGAUAUUAUUUUGGGGGGGAAAAGUAAUUUGCUAUGAGUCACUAGCUUAAUAAACUGGUGUGCCAACAGAAGAGGUUAAGAAGGGUGAAAAUAUUCUAUUUUGAUGUUUUGCCAAGUUAAGCAGUGAAAUAUUGUGAGCCUGAACCAAGUGAAAUUAAAUGCUUUCUACUGGUUGAAGUUUUCCUUUGAAAAAUCUCAGUGAGUGAGUGACAAUUCAGAAGUGGUAAAGUGUAACAGUAGAUAAGUAGAUAAGUGCCCUUCCUUCCCUGCUUCCUCUCCCACUGAGGAGAAAUUGCUGAGCAAAAAUCUGAAGUGCUGAGGUGUUUAUUUUAACACUGGGAAACUCUUAUUACUUCAAAUAUUUGCCUGCUUGUAUAUCAUAUCUAUUAUACCAGAUGUGCCACAUACAAAUUAGACACGGCUCAUAAAGUGUGGUAACCCUAGAUUUUUCAAGAUUUUGGAUGUAAAUUUUCCUUUUAUUUAACGGAUCUCUAACUCAUGUCAUGGAGGCUUACUAGUGAUGCGGGUCUAUACCUUUCUAAUUAAAACCUUAGUAGAAUUCUUCCUAUACUUAAAACAUACACCUUAUUCAGUUCCUCCCUUAAAUAUAUAUAUAUCUUUAUGUAUAUAUAUAUAUGUCGUUAGAUGGUGAUGAAGCAAGAAAUGUCGAAAUGAAGGGAGCAUUCACUGGAUCUGGAUCCAGGUUGUCUUAAUUACUUGGCUAGGUCUGCAGCUCCAUUUACCACCUAGCAAACCCAUCUUGAUAGUAGAGAAGUUCCUUUACAGUGAUGGUAACUAUACAAAGAAAGCCUAAACUAGAUUCAGAUUACUAAAUAUGAAGUCAGAGAUGAAUAAAAUAUAAAGGAGACCAGGAGUCAAACUAUACUGUAAUUUCUUUUCACUUUUCCUUGCAAGAUGAGAUAGUUCAAAUGAACAUUUUAUGCAUAUGUUUAUUUUUCACUCUCUAUAUAAUGGAUUCUGGCAUAGGAGCAUGCAUUCACCAUGCAUGUUACUCUGGUUGAAGAGAACGUUGGUUUUUGGCAGGCUGUGCUGCAGGCACCCUCCUCUGGACUUCGCAGAAGAGAUGCCAGCCAGCUUUGCAGGCUAGCCUGUUGGGAGUGUUCUCUCAUUUUAGCUGGCUGUGCAGCCAGCUGGCAGUCAUAUCCAGCACAGCACUAGGUAACAUGAAUGAACUAGUCUUCAGUGAACUGGAGUUUUUUUUUUUCUGUAUUUAGAAGAAUCAUUAAACACCGAUUUACAAAAACGAUUUUGUGAAUGUCUUUACAAACUUCAGCCAUAUAACUAUUUAAUAAAAUGAAACUCAGAAGCUUUUGUACUAAAAACUGUCCAUUAAUUUUUAAAAAUCACAAACUUUGAUUGUUUUGCUUUCAAUCGAUCGUGUACUUCAGUAUUUCUAAAGGUCUCUUUUAUUGUGUGAUAUUAAUGUCAUCAAGGGAGCGAGCUGUAAGGCAAAAGUAUUUGCCUAGUGUGUGUUUUCAGUUUUAUGUGUUCUAGUAAAUCUGAGGUGCUUCGUUCUGGUUUUCAGGUUUCAAAAUACAUUAACCAUCUCUCCAUCUUAUGCAGUGGCUCAUACCCACCUCGUUACAAGAAGGGUAGGAACAUGAUCCCUAGAUGUGGUUUUUCCUAAGUAGGUGAUUAUUGGUAUGUAUGCCAUUUGUGUGUAGAUUUCUUCACUGGACCACAUUACAUAGCGUAUUAGGUCUUCCUAGCAUUAGUUACAUUUGCAUGUAGUUUUUUUCUGUGUGAAUGCAUUCUGGAGGGUGGUUUUGAAACACUGAUAUUCGUGUUACUAGGGAUAUGUGUGGUGUCUGCAUUAUUUGCCAGUAAUCUGAGUUGGAUUUGGUUUCAGAAAAUGUGAGCUAGUUCUGUGCCCAUUGAUUUUACCUACAGAAGUUUUAAAGCACCAGCUGUAUGGCAGAUGCUCAUAUUAAGAUCUUGCGUUUCAAGCAGAACUCAAGAAAUUCUUAGGAUACCUUAUUUGCUUCUACUACAGAUUUUUCUUCUUCAGAUUCAGCCAAUCCAUAUUCAUGGGUAAAGAAAAAUUUCAGUCUUUUGUCAAAACCUACUGGAUAGAACCUGUUGCCUUUCUUCAAUUUCUGUUCUCUGUUCUGCUUUCUCUUCUGCUAGACCAUAGCUGGUGAGUAAGAUUGAGUGGGAAAGAAAUUCUGUUCUGCCUGUUCAUUUCUACCAAAUCAAAAUUGUGUUACUACCUGAAAGCAAAAAUAAAACAAAAUUUAAACAUAUUGCUCUCAUUAUGUCCAUGUCCUUAGGUCCUUAGCUCUUUUGAUUGUUCAGGAGUCCAAUCAACUGUCAGUCUCAAGCAGUGUGAGGAAUUAAAUGGCACAAGUGUCCAACAGUAGAGGUCUUUAUCCUGUUCAAGGGGGCCAGCUUUUUUUUUUGAGACUGUGAUUUAUAUAGUUGUUUUCCUUUUUUUUUUUUUUUUUUCCCCUCCUGAAAUUAGAAUCUCCUUCCUGCCUUGACCCUUUUUUUCCCCACCUAUCUGCAUAUUGUAAUUUAAAGCCUUCUUUGAUGGUGGUACAACAUUGUCCACAAACUUGAGUUCUGUAUGGAAGUAGACUCAUAAACUAAGGACAGAUAUAAUACUGGUCAUAAAGUACUUGAUAUAAUAUUUUCUUUGCCAUAUUUCUGCUGCUGCUUCAGGAGAGACUUGCACGUGUUUUUACUUGCAUGUCGAAUCACAUAACUUUUUGUGAAGGCUGUGUGUGGCUUUAAAGAUAGUUAUUUGAUGCAGGAGUGGAGCCUAAAUUUACAGAUCAUAUCUGGACCAUUUCACAGCUUUGUUUUUUCUGCAACUCUACAGUUGUUAUUAGUAGGCUCUAACUAUAUAAAUUUAGACUACAGACUGUAACUGAAAGUAUAAUCUGACCUUCCUUAAUGUGGGAAUUUAACGGUCCAGCCUGGGUUUUCUUGAAUAAUUUAAUUUUUCUUCUCCAUGUGCUUCAGAAUUUUGCUUCCAGAUUAACAACCAAACAAAAGGAGUAUAUAUUUAUAUUGUAUAUCAUGCAAUUUAUUAAUUAUAUUUAUAUUCUAAUAUAUGUUACAUAUUUAUAUUUGUUUCGUAGCAGUUAUAUUUUAAUGAAUACAUUUGAUAGAAGAUAUCUGAGCUUUUGUUUAGAAUGUACUCACGUACACAUUGCAGUUGUGAGCUUUAAUAAUGUAAGCAUGUGAAGACUUAUGAAAGGAAGGAAGUCUUUAUUUCUAGUCUUUUAUAUGACAAAAUUUAACCUUAUGAAGGCAUUCUUUCUAUACAUUUAUAUGAAUAAGAUGUUACACAAAAUUGUACUGUGAUUUCUUUGCGCUUUGGAUUUGAGCAAGUUUAGUCCUGUUCUGGGUACUAGCUAGAAUGCUUUUCAAGAGUCUUUCCCAACGUUUUUAAUAUGCUAGUGUUAUGCUGUGUGCUUUCAGGAACAAAUUAGAGCAUUUCAGUAAAUAAAAUGUCAUUUUUUCCUUAUCUUUCAGACUUUAGUUGUCAUAACUUUGUGCAUCUUUUGUUGACAGUAUAUGACAGUCUAAAAUUGGAAAAUUUGGGGGGAAACUCUUUGUAUUGACAGAGAAUUACUAAAAUAACAUGCUAUUUCAACACUAGGAGUAUUUGACUUGUUAGACUUCAUUUUCAAACUUAGCCCCAAAAGCAACUACAAUGAAAUUUGUUUCUCAGGUUUUAAGUGAUAUCAGACCAGUUGUCUUAUUUAUGGGAAUAUUAUAGCUCCAUGUGUAUCCUAGGAUGUUGAAUAAAAGUUGCAAAAUAAGACCCAGUAUAAAUGUUUGUGAGAAAAAGUAGCUUUUUGCAUAGUAUUACAGAGAUGCAAAAUUAGAAAGCCAAAGAUAUGCCCUCCUAGAUGUGAACACAGUGGUUGCCAAGCAUCUUCCUGAAUUGCAUUUAUAUUGUUAAAAUUGCAUCUAUGUUGUUAUGCUGCACAUGUUGAAUAGUCUGAAGUAACAGCUGCUCACCCUAUGGAAACCAAAAGUUUAUGUGAACAUUUGAAGGGGAAGAGCGCUGCCGAGGAUGAUGAGAAAUGGGUUAUACUGAGUUUUUCUUAAUAGGACACGGUAUACAUAUGUUCUAGACCUACAGUACUGUGGAUUCUACAACAUAGCACAGAGAGAGAGUAUAAAAAAGGUGAUUCCUGAUUCAUAACAUGGAAGAUUUCCGCGUAGUGGCACUUAAGCGACUACAAAAAAGAAAAUGGCGCUGUUGAUAUUCAGCUAUUUGUUUUUAAUAAUCACAUUGAUAACAAUAUUUGUGAUAUUUGCUGAUAGGAAUAUUAUGUUGUGCCCAAUAGAGCUAUAAGGAAGAACAAAUCCUUGGAAGCUCAGCUGAGAAUUCAGAUUGCACCGUCUGACCCCACAUAAUUGAAGUGGGUGUUCCUUCUGGUAACAGAAGUGCCUUCUCUAUGUUAACAUCAGUAAGGUUUGUGUAUUAUGUGGAACAGUUCCAGACAGAAGACAUGUUCUUGAGAAUUUAAGUAAAUUGGUUCAAGAAGCCUUUUGGCUGCAGGUUGCUACUCACAAGUGGGCCCUUUCCAUGGUGUGUGUGACUCUUAACAAAUGUGCUUUAGUGCAACAUCACCUGACCAGUUCAAGCUGCAGCUCAAGAUAACAACUAAAGAGGAUGUCUUCCAAAAGAACCAGUCUCAGAAACUCCUGUGCAAGUUACUGUUGCUGAAUUUUGAAGCACUAAUUAGCAGCUAAAAUGGGAACAUUUUACCCCUCUGUCUGCUGUUGCUGGUAUUAUGGUCAAGGGGUUAUGUCUUGAGGAGUUCAAUGGAAAACACUGUUACUGGGUUGUUCCAGUUUGAGGAUGACUGAUGAAGAGUGCUCCCAAUCAAUAGCACGUUUCAGACAUACCCAACAUCUGUCUUCUUGUUCUGACACUUCAAAGGUGCUCCUGAAUCCAGUUGUUAAGGAUAAUUUGCAUAUCAUAACUAUGCGUUGUAAUCAAAACUCAUUUGUCUUUGGUCCAAUAAAUGAAGAUUUCCUAACAGGAUUCAUAAUUGUUGUUUAAAAGUAAAAUCAAUCAUUUCUGUAUAAUUGCCCAAUUUAUAACCUUUCCUUUACCUUGUGCUUCACCUCAUAGAACCAUGGCAGUGUGCUGUAGGUAGAGAGGAAAAAGAGGAAGGAAAAUGGGUUAUUUGCUGAAGCACAGGGCAUGCGAUUGUUGUUUGUUGUUGUAUGAAAUCACAAUCAAAAUUGACACAAGUUGCUAUUAAACUCUAUUUCCUGUGUUAAAAAAAGUCAGUAUUAGCUAAAAAGAAACCUGCAGCAGUAGAUUUGCACAUAGACCUUAAUGAGCCCAAUUGACCUUCUGUGCUGUAUUUACAAUUGCCUUAAAAUUGUAAGCAGAUGUUUGAAAAACUUUUGUUAAUAGGUCCCUAACAUCUGUUUCACCAGUGAUAUUGCCCACCAAAGCAGUUGUAAUUAGUAGAGCACCUAGUGCAUACAUCUUUUUCUUAUUGGAGCAGAUGAUCAUAUUUCUCCCUCAGGUAUUAAAGUAAAAUCUUAUUGGCACUUUUGUUUUCAUAAAUUCUACAAUAUUUCUUUUGUAAAGACUAAAGGUUUUCCACCAAAUGCAGGGUAAUGUAAUAGUUUUUCCCUGUGAAGUCUUAGAAAAUGCAGUACAGUACCAAUACAUCCACUAACACUAGACAACAUUCAGGGGAUAGUGAAAAAACAGAAUAUGAAAUACUGUGUGCAACUGAAACUUUUGAUAGCGUUUGUCCAUUUGUACUGCUCCGAUGCAUGAUAGAAUGCGUGUUUAAAGUGGAAAAAAAGAAAAAUGAAAGGAAGAAAAUCUUACACUCUGCUGCAGAAAAAGCCAGUGUCAUUUGCCCAUUAAAGUUCUUUUAUAUGACAUAGUUUCCAUUUAUUUGAGAACACAAAAACCUGUCUGCUUGCUCAGUUUAUAUAGCAGUGUUUUCAAAGAAAUUGUUAUGACAGUCUGUGAGGGUAAAGGUUCAGCUUUAACCUUGUGUUGGUUGCCAGCCUUCAUAGCUCUCAUGGCUUCGUUUUUUUUUUUUUAAAUAAACUACAAUUUGAAAGUUAUUCUUUAACUCCUACUUUAUAAAAUAUAAUAUGGAAAACGCGACUGGGGGAGACCUGUGCAAAGCUGCCAAUAAAAUUUCCACUCCAGUUGUUUCCAUGUGGACUUCAUUGGAGAUAAGUCACUGACAGAGGAAUAGCCCCUUUUCCAAUGAGGAAUCUUUUUGGAAAUGUUCUGCUACCUUCUAAAGCAGCCGCCAGCCUUUACAAAGUGCAGGAGCUUUCUAAAACAUCCCCCAUGUCUUCUCAAACCUGUGGAAUGAAGACUGUGUCAGUCAUGUCACAGUUUGUCUAAUUAUAAUGGAUUUGAGCUACAUCGUUUUCAGGAUAGGCACUGUAAAGUGUUGUAAGCUCUACCUUCCUGAGAGAGAGGUGGGGAGGAUGGGAGGAAGAAAUUUCAGGAAAGGGGAUUCUUAAAAUAUCGCAUCCCCUGAAGGGGAAUUGUGGAAUCUCACUUCAGAUGCAGGGCUACAUUAUUACAGACAUGUGUCUGGAUCUUUUGCUAGCUCACCUGUAUGUUCAAGAAGUGCUUAAAUGCUUAGAUCAACCUUACUGAGGCAGUGAUCUUAAUCAUAUGGAAACUACCUUACUAAGAAGUGUUACUGUGGCCAUGAUUUUCUAAGGUAAUGCAAUUUGUACAGGGAAACUUCUUAGGACAGAUUGAGUUAGAAAAGGAUUUGUGGCCCACACUUCUGUAGUAAGUAGUGAUUUCUACCAGACAUAGAAAGAAUCUGAAACCCAUUGCCUGUUCAUCCAAGGAAAUAUCCAGAGCAGUCAUUAAUGUUGGUCCUUUACUUUUCAGAUUGUGUUACGGGUUUCUUAGUUUAAAAAAAAAAAUAAAGGAACUAUUCACAUCUUCCCUUUUCACUCCCCCAUAGUCUUUGUUCACAUAACAAGUUAAGAUGAGAAUACAAGAACCUGUUCCGUAUUUUCUGCUAGCGACACCAUUUUCAAGAAUGUUCCAAUGUGUUGUUUUUUAUUAAACCUCAUUUUCCAUAAGAAAAUUUUCUAAGUUAAGUUUCGGUAAUGACUGUGCAGAUGCACUGUUACUUUUUUAAAAAACUUGAAUAAUCUCUCUAGUCCUGUUUUCUUUCCAAGGGUGAAAUGAAAAACAGCUUAUUUCCUAGUCUUUAUGUGAACCUGAAAUCAUGUGAAUAGUAAUGAAACAGGUUUUCUCUUAAGAUGCCAAAAAGAAACAUACUUAACUUACAGCGAGAGAGACAUUUGUUCAUUGUUUAUAUAGACAAAUGUAAAAAUAGAGAACAUCAUUAUGAAAACCAGCUGAUACACAGAGGCACUUUUGCAAACCACUUCUUUUUUUAUGUGGUGAAGAUACUUUCAUUGAUGCUUAGAGUUAUGAAAUGGAGGAACUGCACAUUAACUACUGUAAAUCACUUCCAACAUCUCUCUGAUUAAAAUACCUUUGGAAAAAAGCAGUAGGGUUAGUACCCUAUGCUAAAUGAUAUGUGUAGUUCAGUUUUAAAAUAAUUUUUUCAAUGUUUCAUCUGAAAAAGUGCCACUUUUUACUUGCGCAGUUUUUUCAGCCUUUUGUUUUGAGGUAGGGUAAUCAAAAUCAAUCAAAAUUGGCAAGUAAAACAUUCUCACGCAGAAAACAAGGCUAGAAAGAUUUAUGUUGUGAAAACUCCAAAGAUUUUUUUUGACAAGUUUGCAUUCAGUGUAGUGUUUAUGUAGUGCUACUUAGCUUUCAGAUGUAGCAUUGAAGUGGGGAGGAUGUACAGAUGCGCCCAAAGGGUGUAUGAGCCUAAAUCCUCAACAAAGUCAGCAUUAGCCUUGGGAAUUAUUGAGAAACUAUUUUGCAGUUGAUAUUUCACAUUCAAUUGUCUUGAGUGUCCUUAGUAACUGUGACUUUGUAAUAUGAGUCCUUCUAAAUGUCGGUCUUCUCUAAAGAUCAUCAGAUUCUCAAACAAUGAAUAACCUGCUUGCAGAAAUAUUCAUUAGAAUUCCUCUAAAAUUUGUCAAAUAUUUCCUUAUUUAGUAUGCACAAAUACCAUCAAAAAAUAAAAGCUCAUGCUAUGCUGUAAAAUUGAAGGAGUACAUUUCCAGAAUAAAUUCCUCUGUUCUUGUUCUUUUUAAAUUUUUAUUAUUAAUUAUUAAGGUAAUAUUGCAUCUUUGAAUAUUGAACCUUUUUUUAGAUUGAACAGUAUCAAUAUGAAUGCACUUCCAUAUGUGCAUUAAAUUGUACGUGAAUUAGGGAAUUGUAAUUCAACAGUUGUACGUUUUUUCUUGAUGUGAACACAUGCAUAAAACCAUGUAGACAUCCUUUUGACAAUGUUAAAAACAUGAGUGAGAAUCUUUGUGUUUUGUUUUGUUUUGUUUUUUCACAUUUACACUUUAUAUCUUAGGUUGCAAGUAGGUCAUUUGAAAUGAAUAAUGCUCUUGGACAUGGUAUAGCCUGGAGAAAAAGAGAGAACAUCUUUUGUUGAUGUCGUAUAAGCUACAGAAGAUUCCAACAGGGCCACUACAUGUUCUUGUUUUUUUCCCAGGUCUAGUUUCUGGAGAUGCAUGUAACAUUUCAUGUUAAAGCAUAUUGGAGAGUUCUGCAAUCAUGUAUUAUGUAAAAAGUAUAGGUGGUUUAAUGUUCAAAAAUACAGAAUUGACAGAAAAACAACAGAAAUGGGAACCUGCCAAAUUAGCAAUAAAGUAAUCUGAUUUAUUUCUGGGACAAGACCUUGUAGAAGUUUCCUUUACUAUAACAGUGUUAUGGAUGGAGAACAUGUACUUCCUGUAUCUAGUCUUAAUACUCGGCUCCCUGGGAGGGUCACCAGGAGGUCAAAAAGUGAGAACUGUUGGGUUCUGGGCAUUGCAGCCAUGUUGGCCUUCUCUUACCUGUAGUUUUGGUCUAAUGAACAGUAGAGACAUUUAGUCACAUACAGGUAUUGUGCAGCCAUGGUUUAUGUUUUCAUAGCUGUAAAUUAUGGUUUACUGUUCUAUAAUUGAAUCAGUGGUCCCAUUUAUUUAUCUUAAAGUAAUGGCAAUGUUCAGCCUAAAGUUAAACAAGUGCUAAAUUUAUUCUGACUAUCAAGGCUAACUAUUCUGCAUGAUCUACUUUAGGGAUGUACAGAUUAUUAAAACACUUUUUUGGGGGUGUAAAUGUAAGUUUUCCCUUUCUCCCCUUAUGUUUCGCUGCCUUUCCUCUUUUCUGUCAUUUCAGCACUUGCACAGGUAACGUGUAAUGUUCCUGCAGUUUCUGGAAAUGCCUGUUAGUAGUGGCUCAAUUCUUUCUUUGUGCUUCUGAAGGCCAAUAAAUUACCCACACAGCCAAUCUUAAACUGUAUGUGUACAAUUCAUGACUUCACUUAGGAAUUUUGGCGAUAAGGAGCAUCUAAAAAAAUUGUGCAAAAUAAGGUUAGGAAGCUUUAAAGCUAUUCCUGUUUUUGUUUGGUAGGCAAAAUGUUGAGCACUGGGCACUUAGUUUUGUUCUGAGGUAUUGAAGUCUAAAAAAUACUGCAAGACUUGUUAUAAAACCACAGGUGUUGGUAACACUAUGGUAUAUAAUGAGGAAGGAAAGCACCUACAUUAAAUGUUUGUACCAGUGCACUUAAGCGAUGUUGUAGCCAAAUGGUCUGCAUUGGAAAAAAAAUGGUAACUUUCUUAGAUAAAACCUGUAUUUCACAGAACCAUAGUACUUAUUCUUCAUAAACAUAUUUUAUUACAAAGGUUUUUGAGAUGAAGAUGGACUAUGUGCCAUGAAUUAUUAACCUGAAAUUUCUUUUCCCCUUAAGUCAAGCAUGCAUAGUAAGAUACUAGUUUCAAAAGCUGGGAGAUGGUGAAGUCCAUCAGUAAGCACUGUAUAUGUAGUAUUGGUUAAGGUUGCUCUUGAUACUUUGGGAGAUACCCUAACCUUUUUUUUUUUUCUUUUUUUUUUUUCCAAUUUAUAUGCUGUUCCUCUUUAAAAAGAAAAACGCUGUAGAGAGAAUAACCAGGAAUCUUGAGUGUACAGAGUAGAAAGUCUUACCGAAUGUAUAGAAUUUCAUGGUUUCAUAUGGGCUGUAUGGAAAACAGUAGCAUUCAUUAUAUAGUUUGACAAAAUGUUCGUGAUUGCAGUUGACUUACAAAUUUCUCUAAAAUUACACUUCUGUGAGAAAACAGCUCUUUCAAUGUGUAAAAAUUACCAUUCAUUUCUUUACUUUUGACCUCUGUUGAUCUUACUAAUUCUUAGUUAUUCUCAUAUGUUCUAGUUCUGCUGGGAGGAAAAAUGGGACUUUAAUAUAUCUUAUUAUUUUCUGUCAAAGAUUUGGGGAGAUUGUUUCAGAGAGUUAUAGCAGCACCCAUUAGCUAUUCCCUUUCUAUUUCACAGCUUUGAAAAAGGUUUAAAACUCAGCUCCUUGAAUUCCUUUUAAAACGGAAUGUGCCAGCCAUGAGGGUUUUUUUGUACACCUUUAAAAACUAACCCCCCCUGAAUUUUUAAACAUUUUAAAGAUCACACAUAAGAAAUUCAGAAAGCACACUGCUGUAUUUGUGUUUAGCUGUUAUGGUAGUACAGCUAUCUAAAAAUCCCAAUGUGAAAAUAUUAUCAAAGGGACUGAAGCAUGAUACAGUUAUUUCUACAUUUUCAACAAUGCCUGAACUUUUUACUUCUAACCUGUUGUAGUUCACAGGUUAUUUGGGGAGAUGUUUUAAAUUGUGAUUCAUACAGUGAGAAUCUCUAAACCAGUCUCUUUAAACUCUGGUUUGCCUAGUGGACGGAGCAAUGGCAGUCUGGAUUUUCAAACAGCUGUGCCCCUGCAAGCCAGUGGGGUGAAUCUGUGUUAACUGUUGAGAUAAGGAAUGAGCUUUUGAAAGCAACAUGAUUAUCCUCCCUUACUACCCUUGGGUUCACGUUCCAGUGUUCCCAUCAUGGGAACUGGAUCCCUUUUGGGUUAAACAGGUGCCUCAGAAGUGCUCCUCCUGUACUCCAACCAGUAACUGGUAUCCAGGUCCGGGGAGCAGACUGCAGUUACUUCAAAAUCCAACCCCCAGCCUUUCAGCAUGUAGAUGUUGCAUCCUCAUCGGUGACUGAUUCGCUCUGCAAAUCUGCCUUACUGUGUCGCACUACUAGCUAAUUUUGUAGGCUUGCUAGAAGUGCAGCAUUAUCAGGCUGUUAUACUUCACAGGUUCAUUCCUCUGGGGCCAGACUACUACCACACCUACUGGUGUCUUACAGACUUGGUGUACUAAGGGAUUUCUAGAUUGAAGCUGGAAUAAUUUGUCUUUUAAAGGGCCCAUCAACUGAGUUAAAACUGGAUGAAUAAAUAUUUAGAGUCUGAAUAUUGAAUUUAUGUUUGUUUGCAUUAGGUUUCGAUGUAGUAACUAGUUUCUUUUCAUGAAGUGAAUGAUAAAAGGUCUUUUUUUUUCCACAUAUUCAUAUUUUUUGCUAGCUACAAGGAUCUUGAAUGUCAUCACAAUUGUUUCUGGAUUUUGAUAGUACAGGUUCUGAUGUUUCAAGGCCUGUCAGUUCCGUCAUUUAGGGUUUUGUAGCAAUGACUUCAUAGGAAAAUCAGCUAGUGCUUUUUCCUAGCUGCAGUUAAAAGGGAGACAAAAUAACUGGAUGGAAUUCUGCAUUUCUACAUGAAGUACAUUGAGUUGUCUUAAAUUUCCGAUGAAUUAGUACCCAUUAUUUAUCUGUCUUCAUUCAGACUAUUAUUUGGUAAGUUUUGAAAUGCAACUAUUUUGUCUUGACCCAUAAUGUAACUUAGAAUUGCAGAUGAGAGUUUGGAUGCCUUUAUCUUCUCAGUAAAAUGUUGUCACCUACAACUGAAAAAAAGUUCACUCUACUCUUACUUAAAUCUUUUUUUUCUCUCUCUUUUUUUUUUUUUUUGUAAUUAACUACCAUAUCUCACUACCUGUCAUGCUUCAAUUAUUGUCAAUUAGAAGUGCUUAGCUACUCUGGUUUAACUCUCACAUUCAAUACUAAAGUUUGGUCAAAAGAGUUUUAGACUAUUUUAACUUGUCAGUCAGAGGUAUGAUUUAUUUUUUUAACCAAUGUAGUUGUAUUGAUACAAUUCCUAGAAUAAAUAUAGUUAUUCAGGUAUGAGGAUAUAUUUCCACCAAUUUAUCUUAUUUCCCUUUCCUGUCUACCAGUAUAGUUGUAAAGCAGUACUACCUUGUAUAAAAGCAAGCUCUUAGAAACAAAACAAAACAAAACAAAAAGAAAACAAAGCAAAAAGAAAACAAAGGAAAAAGAAAAAGAAAAGAAAGAG